UACGGAGGAUGCAAGCGUUAUCCGGAUUCAUUGGGUUUAAAGGGUGCGUAGGCGGACUAUUAAGUCAGUGGUGAAAGCCUGCAGCUUAACUGCAGAACUGCCAUUGAUACUGAUAGUCUUGAGUUUGGUUAAGGUAGGCGGAAUGUGUAAUGUAGCGGUGAAAUGCUUAGAUAUUACACAGAACACCAAUUGCGUAGGCAGCUUACUGAGCCGACACUGACGCUGAGGAACGAAAGCGUGGGGAUCGAACAGGA
rnacentral:rRNA from 1 species